UACGAAGGGGGCUAGCGUUGCUCGGAAUCACUGGGCGUAAAGCACACGUAGGCGGCUUCUUAAGUCAGGGGUGAAAUCCUGGAGCUCAACUCCAGAACUGCCUUUGAUACUGAGGAGCUUGAGUCCGGGAGAGGUGAGUGGAACUGCGAGUGUAGAGGUGAAAUUCGUAGAUAUUCGCAAGAACACCAGUGGCGAAGGCGGCUCACUGGCCCGGUACUGACGCUGAGGUGCGAAAGCGUGGGGAGCAAACAGG
rnacentral:rRNA from 1 species